rnacentral:tRNA from 1 species
GGGUAAUAGUUUAAUUGGUAAAACGAUUGCUUUGCAAGCACUUAAUCCGUGUUCGAUUCACGGUUACUCCA